rnacentral:rRNA from 1 species
GGGGGGGGGGGGGGGGGGGGGUGGGGGGGGGGGGGGGGGGGGGGGGGCGGUGCGGGUGUGGGGUGCGCGGGUGGCGGACGGGGGGGGGGCACGGGGGUAGCCUGCCCUGGACUUUGGGAUAACUUCGGGCAGCUGGGGCUAAGGCCGGCUAGGAGGUCCGGCUGCAUGGUGGGGGUGGGGGCGUUUCGGCGGGUGGGGAUGGACUCGCGGCUUAUCAGCUUGUUGGUGGGGUAGUGGCUUACAAAGGCUUUGACGGGUAGCCGGCCUGAGAGGGUGACCGGCCACAUUGGGACUGAGAUACGGCCCAGACUCCUACGGGAGGCAGCAGUGGGGAAUAUUGCACAAUGGGCGGAAGCCUGAUGCAGCAACGCCGCGUGCGGGAUGACGGCCUUCGGGUUGUAAACCGCUUUCGCCUGUGACGAAGCGUGAGUGACGGUAAUGGGUAAAGAAGCACCGGCUAACUACGUG